GGGCGUGUUUUGGAUUCGAUUUGAAUUGAAUUGAUGCAUUGCAAGUAGGAGCGCGUCUGGCUCCUCAAAAAGGCGCACACUGUUACAUGGCAACAAGUCACGUAUCAAAGCUUUCGGCUUUCAGAAGCCUGAGCUUGCUCUAGCAGCUUAAGUCUGCUACCUCUUACUUUUUGACGCAGAUAAAAGGGAUAAGGGGUCAUUCAUCUGCAAAACAGAAAAGGUUUACCUGUUAAUAAACUGCAAAUAAUUGUAACAGGGAGUUCGAUGUUAGUAUCAACAACUUUAAAAGAAACUAACUAAACUUGUAGAAGUGCAUGCUUGAAGGUUUAAAGACGCGGGUUCGAUCCCCGCCACGUCCACCA
rnacentral:tmRNA from 1 species